UACGUAGGUGGCAAGCGUUGUCCGGAAUUAUUGGGCGUAAAGCGCGCGCAGGUGGUUUCUUAAGUCUGAUGUGAAAGCCCACGGCUCAACCAUGGAGGGUCAUUGGAAACUGGGGAACUUGAGUGCAGGAGAGAAGAGUGGAAUUCCACGUGUAGCGGUGAAAUGCGUAGAGAUGUGGAGGAACACCAGUGGCGAAGGCGACUCUUUGGCCUGUAACUGACACUGAGGCGCGAAAGCGUGGGGAGCAAACAGG
rnacentral:rRNA from 1 species